rnacentral:tRNA from 1 species
GGUGAUAUGGCUCAGUGAUAGAGCACUUGCUACGCAUAUGCAAGGGCCCUGGGUUCCAUUCCCAGGAUCUCCC